UUUCUCCUGAGAUGCUUCAUAGUGUGUUUGUGCUCUGCUUUGGUUCCUGCUGUCUCAGUUACCUUGCUGGUCUUCUUGGAUGGACCCUGAAGCUGUGUCACAGGGGCUAGUGAGAAAUCUGUCCUUUAAAGACUCAGCAGUAUAUAACGGGACAUGAUUGGUGUUAUCCAAAGAAAUUUUAAGCUUACAUCUUCCUGCUCUCAAUUAAAAGACAGACAACCAAGCACUCAACUGUGUGCUUAAGACCUAUGGACUUCAUUAUAAUGUCAUCAUGUUUUAAAGACUGACUGGCACUUUUAAGUACUUAUAGUUGGUAACACUAGAAAACUGAGGCCAUGUGGAGCCACUUCAGUAAUUGCAUUUAUUUUAAAAGAUUUCAACCACGCAAUGGAUACGUCUUCUAUAUUUUCCUGGUAGACUUCCUGGUUCACAGGACAUGUCACUAGUUGGGCACCAGCUUGGAAACUAAAAGACUGGCAGGCAGUUCAGUGCUUGAUUGCAGGUUUUUUGCUGGACCCUAAAUAAAUACUUCCAGUGUGUACCACAGAAGACUUGGGGCAGGAUUUGGAUAACAUUUCAGUUAACCAGUAUUUAAGUCUUGGGGCAGGAUUCAGGUAUUGUUUCAGGUAACCAGUAUUUAGCGCUGAUAUCUAAGUUCAAAUUAAUCCAAAUAGCAAAGAGAUGUAAUAUUAUUUCAGAGCAGGCUGAGCUCACUGCCCACUGCAGAUCUGCUUGAGUAUGGAUUACAGACUUUGGUUGCAGACUUUGGCCCAGUGAUACAAAGGAAAAUUACACUGAACUUCAGAGGCUUACAGUUUUGACCCAUUGAUUGUUUUGACUGGAUCAAAAAAAUCAAGAAUUUGGGAUUAUAGCACUUAGCUCUUUUAAGAAUGGUUAAGAAUUUAUGGCUUAUUAAACAAACAAGAUUUCUUUAAGCUCUUACAGUGUCCUAGCAUGGCUGGGAGACCCAAGUAUUUAUAGUGUCUUAGCAUAGUUAAGAUUUCUUCCCUCAUUAAAAAGACUUAACUGUGCUAAGGUUCCUUAAAUAUUUACUAGAGCUUAUAUGCACCGUAGGUGUUCCUAAUUUCCUUCUUAAUUUCUAAACAAGGAAAAUCAAUGCAAAGAAUUGUGCGAAGUGAAUUUGAGUGAUCAAGCUCUUACUUGAGAAAUUCAAGAAGUGACAUCAGCCUCAAAGUUAGCUCAGGCAUGAUGACUGCAUAUAACAUUUCCUUUGUGGAACAGAAACCUUUAUCAAGUGGUUCAGGGUAUGCUGUAAGAGAUACGCCCAAGCUAGAGAUGAGAAUCUUUCCAGUGUGGAUGUAAUUGCCAGUUGAUGGUUGCUGCUGGAACUCAAGUCCAGACUGGGGAUCAAGAGGAAUCUUCCCCUGCACCUACCAAAUUGCAAAACACCAUUGACUUCCUCUGUAGCUUGCAGUUCACCCAGCAGUCUGGUCCUUAGGUCACCUGGAAAUUUUAUUCAAUGACUGCAUUAGCAGUUCCUUCCCACCUCUUUCUCCAGCUUCUACUGCUUUCUUGAGGUACCCAGCUGGUGAAAUAGCUUUAAUACCACACUUCAUGUUUUCAGUGUUUUGUAAUAGAGCAUUGCAGUAGAAUGUUUGGGGGCCAAGGGCUUGCAGGAGCAUACAUCCAGAUUGUGGAGCACCUGGACAUCCACUGUACAUUUUUCAUGAUUGCAUGGGACUGAAUUCAGUCCAUUAGCAGUUCCUUCCAAUCCCAUGUUGUAGUAAAUUCACAUGGGCUACAACUCUUCAAAGGCUUAUAAGUAGCCCAUACUGGGUUGAUUUUCUUGUGGAAAGUAGGAAAAUAAAAAAAAAGGCAUAAUUCCUAACAAAAUUACUCCUUCCUGCCAAUUUCAGGGCAGUACAUGAGAGCAAGUGAGCUUUGCAGUGAAAAUGUCUCAGAUUUCUUCUUCCUUCCCCCCUCCUUUUUUUUUCUUUUCCCAUGAGUGAAACAGAAUGUUUUUCCCCUACCCUCAUUUUUGGAAAUAGUUGUAUUUUUUUAGCUGAAAUUUUCCAACACAUCUCAGCUUGACGCACAGACAUUGCAUGGAAAAUUUCAGCCUGAGCAUUUAAUGUUUGGCAAAGUUAUAAGCAACUGGGACUUAAAAUGGGAAGAGUCUGGCAAUCUAGGAUGUGCUAACAGCCUUCUUUCUAAUGAACAUGCUUGUACAAAGGCUAUUAAUAUACUCAAAAACUUGUCUGAAAGUCAGAAUAGCCCGAAAACAAUGUUGGUGUCCUGUCUGAACUUUCUAGUCUUUAUGGAAAAGUACUUUGAAAAAUCAUUGGAAAGCAAAGUUGUAUGACUAAAACAGAUAUAAAUCUAACUAUAAUUUUCUGGUAGGCUUAAUAGUUGAAAUAUUGUCUUCAGCUUCAAUAGUGAUAUUACCAAAAUGCAGUGUAGCGCUAGAAAAGCUACAGAAAAGGAAAUUGAGAAUGAUCCCUGGAGAUAAAAGAAUGUGCAAGAUGAAGUAAUUUGCAUAAAAAUUGGUAGAUUGGUAUUUAAUUGAAUUAUAUUGGAUCUUACACUUUUAGAUAAUAACCUACAAUAGUAACUCAAACUGAUAUUAUAGACUAAUGUAUUAUUGAAAACAAAUAUACUAUUGAAACAAGUUUUGACAAUGUGCUUACCUGGUAAAGUCGUCAUUUUAAAGCACUCAUGCUUUCUAGUGCAGUGAAAUCUGAUAGCACUAAAUAAAAUCUGUUAAAUUUGUGGUUUCCAUCGUUCUCAUUAUAGAUCUCUCCCACAGGUGCCUAGAAUGUUUGCAGCUGAUUCAGUUCUGUGCAGCAGGCCAAGCCACAUUAAAAUUUGGUAGAUAUUUUUGAUUGAUGUUACAUAAUUAUAGUAUAGUCAGACCUUUCCUCCCCCCCGCCUGGUUGUUCAGCCAUUAAACUGAUGCUGCCAGGUUAAAAAUACCAUGUUUUUAAAGCUUCUUGCAUGUAUGUUAGCAGCACUGUUCUGGCAUGUUAAAAUGGAAGAAUGCUAAAUAAUUUAAUGCACAUCCCUGUGUUUAUGCUAUUUCUGUUUGUGGAGCUGAAUAGUUAGAAAACUGAAAGUGUAGUAUUUGCCACAAUAUCAUAGAGAUUUGGCCUACCAAAUGAAAAAUACUGCCUUAUGGGACAAGCUUUUACUGUAUCACAUCUGACCAAUUGUACAAUGCUCUAUUCUGGGCUGACCUAACUCCUGUGAUGAUUAAAGUGAUGGUGUAGAUGAAAAAAAUCAACUCUUAAUAGGUAUAACUGUAUGUUAUUUGCUGAAAAGUCAAGCAAUUUUUUAAAACCUAUCUGCAGGUUUUUACAUUUUGUUCUCUGAGUAGUGAUUUUUAGCAUUUUCCUAUUAAUUGGUAAUAUCUUCAAGAGCUAAAGUUGUGCUUGAGUUGGACCUGUAAGAUACAAAAUUAAUACAGAAAUUUCAGUAUUCAUGUUUGCCAUGGGAUUCUUAGGCAGUGGUCACCAUAUUACUGCCUUCUUUCAUUAGAAAAUUAACCAGCAAUGUCUGUGCCUACAUAUUUUUAAUCAUACUCAUGCUUGGUUUUAACUUUCUGGCUUCCUUUGAUUCCACGUCAGCACUAACAAAAAUCAUGCAGAUCUUUACAUAAUGGAGCAGUUAGAAAAUCUGAUGCUUUUGGCAUAUUCUUAAUCUCAGCACUCCCAAACAAUGAUCUUCCCACGGGUCACAAUAUUCUUGUUCCUCUUGUGACACACUAAAUGUUGAAGUGGAUCUAGUUACAAUCAGUUUAGCAGUGUGCUGACUGUUGUGAAUCACGCCAAAUGCAUAAUAGCUAAUGACUGUAGCAGCCACAGAACACUGCUUCUGUUUUUUGUGGAAAUUUUAAGAUUUUGGUGAUUUCUUUUUACCAUUUCUAUUUCCUCAUUUGUAAUUGUAGGUGGUUUUUAAACAAAAGAUUUUCCAGCUCUGAUUUUAUCUCCAAGAAUCUUGAUAGAUUGUGAGCUCUAUCAGGUUAUUUUGCUGUGUGGCUUACCUACAUAGCCAAUUUGGAGGGAGGAUUAAGAGGCUGAGCAUGGGGUUUAUUAUAAACCUAUCAAGAUCUAAGAUGGAGAUUUUGCCAUUAUUUGCAUCAGUAGGUUUCAAAGUGAUGCAGCCCUUCAAGGCUCAAUGAAAGCAGUGCUGGAGAAGUCUAGAUAGAAUCAUAGAGUAGCUUGGGUUGGAAGGGACCUUCAAAGGUCAUCUUGUCCAACCACCCUGCAAUGAGCAGGGACAUCUUCAACUAGAUCAGGUUGCUCAGAGCCCCGUCCAGCCUGGCCUGGAAUGUCUCCAGGGAUGGGGCAUGUAAGUCAGGCUGGACCUAUAACCCCAACUGUGCAAUCAGAUCUAAUCAGGUGGAUCUCCAUAGACUGCGAAAGCCCCUUGAUAUCUGCGUUUUUUCACAGCGGUGUAGAAAUCCACCUGUUUGGCUCAGCUUGCCAAUGGUCCUAAGAGAGUAGCAGAGUACACACAUGUCCAUAUAUAUGCAGAAACUCUUAUGAAAGCUAGGAAAUGGUAUAAACAGACUGUGUUCUGUUCUGUUUCAUUCUGGGGAUUAAGAACUGAUCCUUUCCAAAAACACAUAGAGGAGGAUUCUCUUACUCUCCUGAAACAGACAGCAAGCCAGGAAAAUCUUUUUAAAAAGGCUGAAACCAAAAGAGUUUUCUGGGCCAUUUUGCACAGUGUCAAGUGACAUCAGGUCAAGUUCAAAACAAAUGUAGAACGUGCCCUGAUUGCUGCUUCAGAAAUGAGUAGUAUUUCCCUUGCUUAGUCUCCCUGGAAACACUGGCAAGCACAUGGGGAAUUAGGGGCUCCUUGAGCCAGAGAUGGAAAAACCAAGACUAAGAAUGACCUCAUAACAUGGUGUUUAAGGCACUGAGCGGGAGGUCUGUGUUCUGUUUGUGGUCAGAGAACAGCUUAUGUUUUAUUUCAAAAGACCCUAUGGUGAAAUACUCUAUCUGCAGGACUGGGGGUUAAAAGGUGUGAAAGCCUCUUUCUCAUUUGGCUUUUUUUUUUUUUUCUAAAGGUAUGAUCUACCACACCUUUUGUUUAUUUUGUUUUUUGGAAGAAAAUGUCAAUGCCCUUACUCAAGAAACAGUCUGGGACUUUUCUGUUGCAAUCUGUAAGGUGUCUAAGUCCUCAGUAUAUACACAUUUCCAGUUAGUAUUUCUAAUAUUAGCUAGUUUACCUAGUUUUUAUUCUGAACCUGAUUACUGGUCCUAUUCCAAGUUGGCCUGAACUGCGUACAGUGCUUAGUUGCUCGGCUACAGUCAGAGACUCUUGUGUAUCCAGGUGUCAAAAAAAGUAAAAAUGUAAUCCAGAAUUACCAUACAUUAAUUUUUGUUGCCAGCUACUAAUUCCAAGGUGUGGUGUUGAAGUCUGUUUAUACAGGCUUGCUUUUAAUCAACAAAAUCUACAUGUAUGUGAUGAGAAGUUAAUCCUGUGUAACAUGGGGUAUCAGAUCUCACUGACAUCUAUUUUAACUUUAGAUCUAUUGCUGGGGUUUACAAUUUAAGAAAGCAAAACAAAACUUUGAAGGAAAAUAAUUAAUGAAAAAUGAUAACCUAAUGCAUUCACCUAUGUAUUCUUACCUAAAUUAUUGCUUUUUAAUAGCAAGUUCUCUUUAAGUAUGGCAAUGGGGUUUUGGCAUGACACAACGCAUAAUUCUUAUGUUUCUCCUUGUAAAAUUCCACUAUGUUCAUCAUUUCCAGCUGAUCCUCCAAAGAAAUUUUGCUCUUGGCUCCCAUUUCCUAAGUACAACAAAGCUAGUGCCAAUAGGUUGCGACUAUCUAGCUUGGUACAAUAGUUAUGGUCUGGUUUUCUGACUUGAGGACAUAACUGAAACAAUAUUGAUUUGCUUAAGUGCAGCCAAUUUAACAGGCACCAUAGCCAAGAUUCUAGUAGCUUUCUAAGUUCCUCCCCCCAUUUUAUCUGCUAGGUAUGUAACUUUAUUAAAAAUAAAGGAAUGGACAAUAUGCUGCUUUAAGAUGUCUUUUACAUGUGAUUUCAAAUGGAAAAUUUGAAACUUUUAGUGUUACAAGCUAUUUCAAAUAAUUUUUUAGAAAUAAUUGUUAUCUCCUGUUUCCUGAGAUGGUGGCUUUGCCAGAUACACCAGGUAAAUGGCUGUUCUUCUCUAGUAAUGAAUUUCAUUUCUAUACAAUAUAGAGUCCCUUGACUAGGUUUGAUUUGGAAGCAACCUGUAGCAAGUGAAGAAAAAUGAGGGGCAAGUUACUAAAAGAAGUUUUCAAGAGAACUGCCUGUUGUGUCUGUGUGGAACAACCCCCACACAGCUUGCUCUGACUUCUGAUCAGGAGGUCGAUGAUCUAGAAUGGCAAUAUGGCUCUUUAAGGCAGCCUCAACAGCUCAGUCAGACUUGAGCUGCCUCAGGAUGGCUCAGGUCUUAAGGACUUCCAUCAACAGAAACAACACUGAGAAGAACCCCAAAUUCACAUCAGCUUAAGUUGUCAUAUAAUCUAUUGAUGGAAAUAUGAGCACUCCAACAUUGGUUAUGAAGUUAUGCUUCACUCAAAAAGUUAUCUACUUAGAGGUGGCAUUUUUUUCCUUACUACAGAUUAAAACCACAUAAUGUACAUUAGAUCUAACUUUGAGAUACAGAAAUGCAAACCAGCAAUGUGCAUCAUUUAACUAAACCUAUGCUGAACCUAUACUUAUAUUUGAAAAAACAUUCACAAACUCAAAAUGAAAUCCUUCAUAUGGGAUAUAAAUACAGAAAAGGUCAGGCCUGAAGAAACUUUAGUGAGUAAAAUGAUAAAUAGAACUGAAAUUUCAUUCUAACAGUAUAAUUUUCUAUUUGCUCUAAUACAUGGGUAAAUAUAUAGAACAGGUAUAAAAAAGUAGCAAGUAGGGUGAUAUGUGUGCUCAUAGCCUAAUAUUGCUAUGAAAUUCCAACUAUGUGCUUUGUGUAUAAAUAAAUAAUGAUUCAGCUAAACCAAGAUUAAAGGCUCAACAUGUCUUUUUUUUCUGAAAUAGAUUGUACUUCACUAUUUGAAUGCUGUUAGCAGAAUUUUGUUGUUUAUCAUAUUA